rnacentral:rRNA from 1 species
UACAGAGGGUGCGAGCGUUGUUCGGAAUUAUUGGGCGUAAAGGGCGCGUAGGCGGUGCGGUAAGUCACCUGUGAAAUCUCCUGGCUCAACUGGGAGCUUGCAGGCGAAACUGCCGUGCUGGAGUGUGGGAGAGGUGAGUGGAAUUCCCGGUGUAGCGGUGAAAUGCGUAGAGAUUAGGAAGAACACCAGUGGCGAAGGCGACUCUUUGGCCUGUAACUGACGCUGAGGCGCGAAAGCGUGGGGAGCAAACAGG